UAAUAGUAUGUAUCAUCAACAAAUUAUAAGAUAUUGAGACAUUUAAAGUUGGGAAAAAUGGAGUAUGUAUCAUCAAUAAUAUGAGAAAAAUAUUAUUUACAAAAUCUAAAAGAAUAUUGUUGUUUGGCAUUACGGGGAGCAACCUCUGGUUGAUAAACAUGGACCUUAUCUAACAACCAAACAUAUCACAUAAAAUCUUUAUCCAUUAGGUAUAGCAAGCAAAACACAUAACAACUUGUCGGGAGCUCAAAAAUCACAUUAUUACACCUCCCAAGAAACACUAUUCUGCGAUGACACCAUAAGAGUCUAAUUGAGCAACUCAAAAUAUCUCAUGA
rnacentral:lncRNA from 1 species